CUUAAUACAGCAGUGUGAGUAGAAAGAGCUUUACAUUUAGAGAUGCAGAAAGCAAAAUGCCUUUCUUGGAAGUCACUUGGGGUGGAGACGUCUAGCAGCACCAGGACUCAGAAAGUUCUAAGACCGUCCGUACUCUCAAGAGCAUCUCUUUUCAGACAGACGAAUGUCUCUUCAUUGCUAUCUCCACUUGCUGCAGAAAUCGAGUACUUCUGCACGUGGGAGGCAUGGUGCAGCACAGAUUUAUCACGGAAAAACAGAGCACUCCUUGCUGAAGACACACAGCUAAUACCUCUGAAAACUACAGGCCUGUUGGAGGGGAGCUAAAUCAUACACUGAUUCACAGGUUCAACAUUUCUGCUAACGUUACAGUUCAGUUGCUGUCUGCUAGGUGGAUUCUUCUGCCAUCAUCUUCCUUCAGGAAUGAAGCCAGUGACAAUACACACUUCAGCCACCUAAGCUCAUCCUUAAAAAUCUGCCACUUCAGAAAACUCUGUCCUGCUUUUCCAACGUAAAGCUGAACACAGUUGCUUAACACAUGUCUUUAUUAUGAUAACAAAAUGCACAUGCCUUCCCUGGUUAGAAAAAAAUUGAAGCAAAGUCUUAUCCUUCAGAGAGGAGGCUGCACAUCACUGUGACUCUGCCGUGUUUGGCAAGUGUGGAAUGUACAUUUUUGGCUCUUUUUUACUAAUUUGAAUCACAUUUUUUUAUUUACUCUUUCCUUCUCCACAAACCCUUCUUAUGACAGCUUGCAUAUUUCAAUAUUAAGAUUUAUUUCCUUCCCAUUUCUUAAUGUACCCCAGAGACAGUAAAAUGACUUGACUAUCAGUUAGCAUUAAUUUUAAAACUGAGUCCAAAUAUUUAAUUGAAUUGGCUGUGUCAGUGUCUUAAUCACCUAAUUGCUAGCAGUUCUAUUUCUGUGGUACAGAUUGUCAGUGAGUUUGAAAGAUCAGUUAUAUUGCCAGAAACUGGAAAUAAUCUCCUUCCAAAUGGUAUAAAUAGCUGAACAACACAGGCAAAAUACACCCUGAACGUACAUCUAAGUGCAAACUCAGAACACCAUGUCUGUUGUUCUGCACAUUUAUAGAAUACAAG
rnacentral:lncRNA from 1 species